ACUCCUACGGGGAGGCAGCAGUAGGGAAUCUUCCACAAUGGACGAAAGUCUGAUGGAGCAACGCCGCGUGAACGAUGAAGGCUUUCGGGUCGUAAAGUUCUGUUGUAAGGGAAGAACAAGUGCCGCAGGCAAUGGCGGCACCUUGACGGUACCUUGCGAGAAAGCCACGGCUAACUACGUGCCAGCAGCCGCGGUAAUACGUAGGUGGCAAGCGUUGUCCGGGAAUUAUUGGGCGUAAAGCGCGCGCAGGCGGCCUCUUAAGUCUGAUGUGAAAGCCCCCCGGCUCAACCGGGGGAGGGCCAUUGGAACUGGGAGGCUUGAGUAUAGGAGAGAAGAGUGGAAUUCCACGUGUAGCGGUGAAAUGCGUAGAGAUGUGGAGGAACACCAGUGGCGAAGCGACUCUUUGGCCUAUAACUGACGCUGAGGCGCGAAAGCGUGGGAGCAAACAGGAUUAGAUACCCCUGGUAGACGCUGA
rnacentral:rRNA from 1 species